rnacentral:tRNA from 3 species
GGAGAGAUGGCUGAGUGGUUGAUAGCCCCGGU